AUAUCAAUAAGCGGAGGAGAAGAAACCAACAGGGAUUCCCUUAGUAACGGCGAGUGAAGCGGGAACAGCUCAAUUUUGAAAUCUCACAGGUUUCCUGUGCGAAUUGUAGUUUCAAGAAACGUUUUCGGGGACAACUUAAAUCCAAGUCCGUUGGAACGCGGUGCCAUAGAGGGUGAGAGCCCCGUUGGAUUUUAUGUUUGUUCCUGUACGAUACGUUUUCAAAGAGUCGGAUAGUUUGGGAUUGCUGUCCAAAAUGGGUGGUAAAUAUCAUCUAAAGCUAAAUAUUGGCGAGAGACCGAUAGCGCACAAGUA
rnacentral:rRNA from 1 species